rnacentral:rRNA from 1 species
UACGUAGGGUGCGAGCGUUGUCCGGAAUUAUUGGGCGUAAAGAGCUCGUAGGCGGCUUGUCGCGUCGGAUGUGAAAGCCCGGGGCUUAACUCCGGGUCUGCAUUCGAUACGGGCAGGCUAGAGUGUGGUAGGGGAGAUCGGAAUUCCUGGUGUAGCGGUGAAAUGCGCAGAUAUCAGGAGGAACACCGGUGGCGAAGGCGGAUCUCUGGGCCGAUACUGACGCUGAGGAGCGAAAGCGUGGGGAGCGAACAGG